rnacentral:lncRNA from 1 species
UUCAAACUCAUCCAAAUCCUUGUCUACCUUCAAUGUCAGUUGAUGAAGAACCUUGCCAUUGAUAACUAAAAAUCACCAUAAGCAAUAUGUUACAUCUAAUUUCACUAUCCUUACAAAUGGCAUAUAAAUUAUGAUUGUUACCGCAUAUAAGCGGUUUACAAAGCACACAUGGAGAGCAAUUUCUAAUUCACACCAACUCGCUUAGCUCCAUGCUAUGUAUCCUUCAAAAUAUUCGUGAUCUCCCUCAAGUUUCUGUACUGAAAGAGCCAAGAAAUACAAAUUAUAAACAACAACCACCUAAUGGGAUCACUAACGACACAUCAGACAGAAUCUUCGCAAGGUAAAGUCUUAAUACACUUCUGUUAAUUCAACAAUCACUAACCAUAGAAAAAUUAGCUCACAACGAAGACACGGCACAGUUAACACACAUCAGAUAGAAUCUUCGCAAGGUAAAGUCUUAAUACACUUCUGUUAAUUCAACAAUCACUAACCACAGAAAAAUUAGCUCACAACAAAGACACGGCACAGUUAACGGAGAAAGUUCUGGAGCAGUAUCAGGAUCAAAUUCAAAGAUAGCCUAUUGAUAUCAAUCAGCGUGAAAAUUGGAUGUUUGAAAAUGAAUUGAAUGCACACAACUGGAUUCUCAAGAGUUGGUAUAUGAAAUGAAGACAAAUAGACAAUCCACAACUAAUGCACCAGCUGUUGUGAAAGCUAAAUUACCAGCUGAUGCUUCGGGCAAUCUGUUAUAGAAAAAGGUCUUGUGAUUGUUGGUGUUCCGACAGGCCCUGAUGUUGGACAAAACUCUAAGGAAGUUGGGCAUCAAAAAACAGUAAUUGAUUGUUCCAGUAAUUGAUUGUUCCAUUGCUGAUCCACAAUCAACCCUGUUGAACCCACCAGUAGUUGAUCUAGGGGAAAAUUUUGAUCAGCUAAUAAUCUGUCUAUUCUGAAUGUAGUUAGAUGCUUUAUUGUCUGAAGUAUUUUCUGCUUAUAAUAGGAUGUUUUUCUUUGUCAUUAUGGGCAAAAAUCUUGAACAGUGGAGCAAACAAGUUGCUGAGUACUAAAUUAUUUCCUUUGUGAUGAUUGCAGUUUCAUGCUAUGCUGAAGGAACUGAUUCACAAGGCAAUUAGUGAGACUGCGGCAAGUUCCCUUCUUUUUCUAAUUACUGUUCCGAGCUUAUGAUACAUAAUUGCUGUGAACGUCUCAUUAUAAUACUCCAUUAUUUUGGUGUGUUAAAGGGUCCAACAACUGGACACGUGCUUCUAUGUGCAGGAGCUAAAGCAGUAUCCAUCCCUACGAGUAGAGGUCAACAAUGCUUCUGUUGAAUCAUUAUAAAGGAUGGGGGAUGAAAGCAAAAAAAAGUAGUAUCCCUACCUACGAGUAGAGGUCAGCAAUGCAGUUGUUGAAUCAUUAGAAAGGAUGAGGGAUGAAGGCAAAAGAGCAACUCUUCAGCUGGUUGAAAAGGAGUGUAUGGAAAAAAGAGCUGGACAAGUGCUCGAUCCAAGGUAAUCUGGUGCAAAUCCAGCUGAAGAAACUGUUGUGGUGAAUGCAAGUUUGGAGACUACUAAUGCGGUGAAUGCAACUGGUGUGAUCAGGGAGAUAAGGGCAGAAGACUAGACAAAUAUGUCCAGUAAAAAAAGGCACUCCAAAAAAUAAAAAAAAUGCAGCAGGAUGGCUCAAGAGACAGUACAUGUGCACGAAGUACAAAUCUAUUUGCUGCUCUUGCUAAUGUGAAUGAUGAGGAAGAUUAUGGUGAUGCGUAUGUUGGAAAUUCGAGUGAGGAUGAUGCUCACGAGAGUGAAGAUGAAGGCAUACUCUCAGUUGGUUCACCAUCUUUACCAAAAAUAGGCAGUCCUGCAAUAGCAAUUUCCAGCAGCAAACUAAACGCAAAGCACCAGUUUUUGUGCCUAAAGCUGGACAACAACAAUGUGGAACAACUACAGCAGGUGAUUCUCUAAGAAAAAACUGCCAAACCAAGUAGGCCCAAGCAACAGGGGAGUACUACAAUCACACAAAUAGCAAACUAAAUGCAAACUAAAUGCAAAAGCACCAGUUUUUGUGCCUAAAACUGGACAGCAACAAUGUGGAACAACUACAACAGGUGAUUCUCUAAGAAAAAAUGCAAAACCAAGUAGGCCCAAGCAACAGGGGAAUACUACAAUCACACAAGUUGUUACCUGUGUGGAGGAACAAAAUAUAGCAACCACACUGAACUCAGCAAAUGUCAUACCAAAUUAGAACACAUUCAAACAAACAACGCAACAUAAAACAUUGAGAUAUACAAAUAGGAUUGCAAUUGCCCAAGCAAACAUAAUACCAAACUCGAAAACAAAACAUAGGAGUCAUAUCUAAUAGCCAUUUGAUCACAACAAAUGCGUAUGGAAUCCACUAGUCUAAAACACCAAAAUUGCAGUAAGUUGAAAUUGCCACUCAAUCCAAGUAAUGAACAAAGAUGUUUUAGAAAAUAUUUUCUACAAGCCACCUAUAUAACUAAACGCCUAAUGUUCAACUUAUGUACCAUGUUUUCAUCCCAUUCAUUUCCAUUAAUAAGAGUUCUCUGUCUGAGCUUUUUAUCUCAACUUAUGUACAAGUUUUUCACUAAACACAAAUAGCAAUUCACGAAGGUGCUUUCGGCACUCUUCUAUAGCACACAAACAAGACUGCUAGUCACAUGGAUUAUUUAAUCCAUGGAGAAGGCAAAAACACACAUCAACGAAGCAAAAGAAGGAAAUUAAAAUCUGCCGCUGAGGGUACCGAAUCGCAAUUUAAUAUAAACUUCAGAAAAUUACAUUAUCAAACUAGGAAUCCCAACCCAAUAAUCUUUUCACUGAUUUUGUAAAAGAAAAAAAUACCAAAAUAUGAAACCUUACCAAGUUUUUUAUGUUAGAGAAGAAAAAGAAGAUCGAAGAACUCGAAGGAGCGAAUCAAUCAGUAAAAAGAGAAACUCGAAAGAGGGCCAUACCACGGAUUCUUAACGAGCGAGAUGGAAACUUGAAAAUAUUCACACACCACAAGAUUCACAACUUGUGUUUUGAGAAAAUACCGUAAAGACGACGGGCAGAGCUUGGCGGAAACUAGGGCUGAGCUUCGACUUGUGUUUCAGAAUACAGAGAGUUACGCGGAUUCUCAACGAGCGAGAUGGAAACUUGGGCAAAUUCAUACACCGCCAAAUUCACAAGUUGUGUUGCUCUGAUCGUAAGCAAACUCAGUUUCAAUUGAGAUUUCAAUUGAGAGGGUGUGAGUUUGAGUUUCCCAAGAACAAGGUGAUAAGUUCUGCCUAUUCAGAAACAGGCUCUUUAUACUAAAUGUAAUUAUAGUGAGUUGUUGUUGUUUUGAGAAAACACAGUACAGAGGCGAUCGGCAGAGCUUGGCGGAGCUUGUGCGUGGAAAGUAGCUAGGGCUGCAGUCGCGAUUAGAAUACAGAGAGUUUAAUUUUUUGACUUUUCAAAAUUUUUUAUUUCAAUAUAGGAG